rnacentral:rRNA from 1 species
AUUGAACGCUGGCGGCAGGCCUAACACAUGCAAGUCGAGCGGCAGCGGGAAAGUAGCUUGCUACUUUUGCCGGCGAGCGGCGGACGGGUGAGUAAUGCCUGUGGAUCUGCCCAGUCGAGGGGGAUAACUACUGGAAACGGUAGCUAAUACCGCAUACGCCCUACGGGGGAAAGCAGGGGACUUGCGGUCCUUGCGCGAUUGGCUGCACCCAGGUGGGAUUGGCUAGGUGGUGAGGUAAUGGCUCACCAAGGCGACGAUCCCUAGCUGGUCUGAGAGGAUGAUCAGCCACACUGGAACUGAGACACGGUCCAGACUCCUACGGGAGGCAGCAGUGGGGAAUAUUGCACAAUGGGGGAAACCCUGAUGCAGCCAUGCCGCGUGUGUGAAGAAGGCCUUCGGGUUGUAAAGCACUUUCAGCGAGGAGGAAAGGUUGGUAGCUAAUAACUGCCAGCUGUGACGUUACUCGCAGAAGAAGCACCGGCUAACUCCGUGCCAGCCGCCGCAGUAAGAC